UAUAAAUAUCUUGUAUAUUUAUAAGAUUGGCAGUGUGGUUCUUGCUGGACCUGGGUGAUAAUAGAUCCCGAAAGACGGAGAUUGAACCAAAAAACAACUCUUAUAAAAAGAGUUGUUUUUUUU
rnacentral:sRNA from 1 species